GACGAACGCUGGCGGCGUGCUUAACACAUGCAAGUCGAACGAUGAAGCCUAGCUUGCUAGGUGGAUUAGUGGCGAACGGGUGAGUAAUACGUGAGUAACCUACCUUUAACUCUGGGAUAAGCCUGGGAAACUGGGUCUAAUACCGGAUACGACCAAUCUCCGCAUGGAGUGUUGGUGGAAAGCGUUAUGUAGUGGUUAUAGAUGGGCUCACGGCCUAUCAGCUUGUUGGUGAGGUAACGGCUCACCAAGGCGACGACGGGUAGCCGGCCUGAGAGGGUGACCGGCCACACUGGGACUGAGACACGGCCCAGACUCCUACGGGAGGCAGCAGUGGGGAAUAUUGCACAAUGGGCGCAAGCCUGAUGCAGCGACGCCGCGUGAGGGAUGAAGGCCUUCGGGUUGUAAACCUCUUUCGUCAGGGAACAAGGCACUGCUUUUGGUGGUGUUGAGGGUACCUGGAUAAGAAGCGCCGGCUAACUACGUGCCAGCAGCCGCGGUAAUACGUAGGGCGCAAGCGUUGUCCGGAAUUAUUGGGCGUAAAGAGCUCGUAGGCGGCUGGUCGCGUCUGUCGUGAAAACUUCCGGCUCAACCGGGGGCUUGCGGUGGGUACGGGCCGGCUAGAGUGCGGUAGGGGUAACUGGAACUCCUGGUGUAGCGGUGGAAUGCGCAGAUAUCAGGAAGAACACCGAUGGCGAAGGCAGGUUACUGGGCCGUUACUGACGCUGAGGAGCGAAAGCGUGGGGAGCGAACAGG
rnacentral:rRNA from 1 species